rnacentral:tRNA from 1 species
GAAAAUCCGUUGACUUUAAAAAUCGUGAGGGUUC